AUUGCCCCAGUAACGGCGAGUGAAGCGGCAACAGCUCAAAUUUGAAAUCUGGUCCCCAGGGCCCGAGUUGUAAUUUGCAGAGGAUGCUUUUGGCGAGGUGCCUUCCGAGUUCCCUGGAACGGGACGCCAUAGAGGGUGAGAGCCCCGUCUGGUCGGACACCGAGCCUCUGUAAAGCUCCUUCGACGAGUCGAGUAGUUUGGGAAUGCUGCUCUAAAUGGGAGGUAUAUGUCUUCUAAAGCUAAAUACUGGCCAGAGACCGAUAGCGCACAAGUAGAGUGAUCGAAAGAUGAAAAGCACUUUGAAAAGAGGGUUAAAUAGUACGUGAAAUUGUUGAAAGGGAAGCACUUGUGACCAGACUUGGCCCCGGUGAAUCAUCCAGCGGUUUUCGUUGGUGCACUUUGCCGGGAUCCAGGCCAGCAUCAGUUCGCUCUGGGGGAUAAAGGCUUUGGGAAUGUGGCUCCCUCGGGAGUGUUAUAGCCCACUGCGUAAUACCUUGUGGCGGGCUGAGGUUCGCGCUAUAUGCAAGGAUGCUGGCAUAAUGGUCAUCAGUGACCCGUCUUGAAACACGGACCAAGGAGUCGUCUUCGUAUGCGAGUGUUCGGGUGUCAAACCCCUACGCGUAAUGAAAGUGAACGCAGGUGAGAGCCCUCCAGGGCGCAUCAUCGACCGAUCCUGAUGUUCUCGGAUGGAUUUGAGUAAGAGCAUACGGGGCCGGACCCGAAAGAAGGUGAACUAUGCCUGUAUAGGGUGAAGCCAGAGGAAACUCUGGUGGAGGCUCGCAGCGGUUCUGACGUGCAAAUCGAUCGUCAAAUAUGGGCAUGGGGGCGAAAGACUAAUCGA
rnacentral:rRNA from 1 species